rnacentral:rRNA from 1 species
GAUGAACGCUGGCGGCGUGCCUAAUACAUGCAAGUCGAGCGAACAGACGAGGAGCUUGCUCCUCUGACGUUAGCGGCGGACGGGUGAGUAACACGUGGAUAACCUACCUAUAAGACUGGGAUAACUUCGGGAAACCGGAGCUAAUACCGGAUAAUAUAUUGAACCGCAUGGUUCAAUAGUGAAAGACGGUUUUGCUGUCACUUAUAGAUGGAUCCGCGCCGCAUUAGCUAGUUGGUAAGGUAACGGCUUACCAAGGCAACGAUGCGUAGCCUACCUGAGAGGGUGAUCGGCCACACUGGAACUGAGACACGGUCCAGACUCCUACGGGAGGCAGCAGUAGGGAAUCUUCCGCAAUGGGCGAAAGCCUGACGGAGCAACGCCGCGUGAGUGAUGAAGGUCUUCGGAUCGUAAAACUCUGUUAUUAGGGAAGAACAAAUGUGUAAGUAACUAUGCACGUCUUGACGGUACCUAAUCAGAAAGCCACGGCUAACUACGUGC